GGCCAAUAUGGCACACCGGUUUGAGCGUUGGAUUACGACUCUGGAGAUCAGAGUUCUAAUCCCUGUUCGGCCA